rnacentral:lncRNA from 1 species
AAAUUAUCUAAAUUCAUAGUUAGAUUACGUGUAACAUUUCCACUCAACUUUUGAGUAUACAAAUACAUUAUUUCUCACAGACCGUAUGGUUGAUAUCUGAGAUCCCAAAUUUAAGCUCUAAUUAUUUCACAAAUCUAACUGAAUUUAUUUUUAAAAAAUAAAUAAAACAGAUAUUAAAUAUAAAGCAAUUAGUUGAGAGGUUUAUUUUUACUUUAAAGAGAAAAAAUAGUAAGUUAUCUAUUUUAUUCAUUUUUUAUAAAUUUCAACUCAGCUAAAUAUAAAGCAAUUAGUUUUUAAACGUAAAAUUUCGAAUAUCAAUCAUCAAGCGCGGAUCGCACUAGAUAUUAAAUUAUAUAAAAUAAUUAUUUGUUCUUUAAAAAUUUAAACUAUCAAAAAAUGAUGUUUUUAAUAUUAAUAUUUAUAUUCAACACACUCAGCACAUCUAGACUCGCAAUCAAAAUA